rnacentral:rRNA from 1 species
CGCGUCAAAAAUGUAACAUCGUCCGAUCCCUAGUCGGCAUAGUUUAUGGUUAAGACUACGACGGUAUCUGAUCGUCUUCGAUCCCCUAACUUUCGUUCCUGAUUAAUGAAAACAUCCUUGGCAAAUGCUUUCGCAGUAGUUAGUCUUCAAUAAAUCCAAGAAUUUCACCUCUGACAAUUGAAUACUGAUGCCCCCGACUGUCCCUAUUAAUCAUUACGGCGGUCCUAGAAACCAACAAAAUAGAACCACACGUCCUAUUCUAUUAUUCCAUGCUAAUGUAUUCGAGCAUAGGCCUGCCUUGAGCACUCUAAUUUUUUCAAAGUAAAAGUCCUGUUUCCCCGCCACACCCAGUGAAGGGCAUGGGGUUCCGCAGAGGGAAAGGCCCGGCCGGACCAGUGCACGCGGUGAGGCGGACCGGCCAGCCAGGCCCAAGGUUCAACUACGAGCUUUUUAACCACAACAACUUUAAUAUACGCUAUUGGAGCUGGAAUUACCGCGGCUGCUGGCACCAGACUUGCCCUCCAAUUGUUCCUCGUUAAGGGAUUUAAAUUGUACUCAUUCCGAUUACAAGACCCAAAAGAGCCCUGUAUCAGUAUUUAUUGUCACUACCUCCCCGUGUCGGGAUUGGGUAAUUUGCGCGCCUGCUGCCUUCCUUGGAUGUAGUAGCCGUUUCUCAGGCUCCUU